rnacentral:rRNA from 1 species
AGUGAAUGCUGGCGGCGUGCUUAACACAUGCAAGUCGAACGAGCAAGUGCUGUAGUAAUACAGAUUACUGCUAGUGGCAGACGGGUGAGUAAUACAUGGGAAUCUGCCUUGAAGUCUGGGAUAACUGUUGGAAACGACAGCUAAUACCGGAUAUUGCCGAGAGGUGAAAGAUUUAUCGCUUCAAGAUGAGCCCAUGCAAGAUUAGCUAGUUGGUGAGGUAAUGGCUCACCAAGGCGAAGAUCUUUAGCUGGUCUAAGAGGAUGAUCAGCCACACUGGAACUGAGACACGGUCCAGACUCCUACGGGAGGCAGCAGUGGGGAAUAUUGGACAAUGGGCGAAAGCCUGAUCCAGCGACGCCGCGUGAGUGAAGAAGGCCUCGGUUGUAAG